rnacentral:lncRNA from 1 species
CGCACGUACGUUGAGAGGAGCGCACGUACGUUGAGAGGAGCGCACGUACGUUGAGAGGAGCGCACCGGAGAAAGAACACACGAGCUGCGGGACAGUGAGAGGAACACACUGGUAGAAGAGCACACAGGCAGCUGGAUGUCGAGAGGAGCGGAAGAGCACAGCGACAGGCACUGGUGUCGACCAGCGGAACGACGUGGAGUUUGGCCUGGGAGGUCAGAGAAGAAUUUGGCUGCUGGGCAGCCCCACUAUAGGGGAAAACCACCUUCCCACUCCAUUCCCCUUCUGAUCUCCCCAUCCACCUCGCUGAGAGCUACCACAACUCAAUAAAAAACCUAGCACUCGAUCUCCAAGCCCACAUGUGAUCCAAUUUUUCCCGUGCACUAAAGCAAGAACCUGGGAUACAGAAAGCCGUCUGUCCUUGUGAUAAGGCAGAGGGUCUAAUUGAGCUGAUUAACACAAGCCACCUGCGGACAGCUAAGCUGAAAAAGCAUCCUGUAACACACGCCCACUGGGGCCUCAGGAGGUGUAAACAUUCACCCCGAGAGGCUGCAUGGGUCCGCGCCCAUGGUCCCCAUGACUUGCCUGUUUGCCUGCUCUGGCUAAGGGUCUUGACCAGUGGGGCACUGAAGAAGCGAGCCACACCUCCAUCGUACGCCCUGCGAGGAGGGGUCUCACUCAGUGACCCAGGCUGAAUGCAGUGGAACAAUCAUGGCUUACUGUAGCCUUGACCUUGAGGGCUUAAGCAAUCCUGCCACCUCAGCCUGCCUAGUACUGGGACUACAGGUACGCGCCACCACGCCCAGAAAUUGCCACAGUCACCUCAACCUUCAGCAACCACCAACUUGAUCAAUCAGCAGCCAAUAACGUGAAGUCAUGACCAUUCACCAGCAAAAAGUUUAUGAUUCACCAAAAUAUUAGAUGAUCAUUAACAUUUUUAGCAAUAAUGUAUUUGUCAUUAAGGUGUUAGUGCAUUGGAAAAUCAUUUAAAGAAUGUAUCAGCUAAUUGAAGGCUUAUGUGUAAACAAGAUUCCUGCCAGGCUUUGACUACUACCCUUGGCCUUCCUAUACAGGGUUGUAAAGAAUCAUCAUGAUGUAUGUUUGAAAUUAUGUUUAACAGUAUUACAGUCAAUAUAGACUAAAUUUUGAUGCAGUAACAACCUCAGAACUUUUACAAUCAUUGCUGGACUGAGAGAGAAAGAGAGAGUGAACAGGGAAUGUCACAUGAGCAGAGAAUGUCACUAUCUCAACUGUAAAAAACAAACAUUACUUCUACUCACAUUUCAUUGCCCAGAACUAGUCCUAUACCUGUGCCUAACUGGAAAUGAGCACAAACUAUCGUGUCUGUCAUGCUCAAGGAGAGGAAAUUGGUUAUUGGUCAGUGUCAAUAUUGUCCACAAAUGUGAAUUACAUUUUAUAAGGUGUUGACUCUGCCUGUCACCCACAAAAGAGCUUUGAGUACAAUUGGCAAACCGUAUAUGCUAUAUUUUUAAAACAAUAUUUCUCUUCCAUGUGUUAAAUGUAAUAAUUGUUUUAGAUUAUUUAACUUGAUAUAUUACUAAGCUUUUUUUCCCUACUCAAACAAAAAGUACUCUUACAAUCAAAGAAACAUGUUUAUUGUUGUUGUUGAUUUAAUUUUCAAACACAUUUGAAGGACUCAAAACACAACCACUCUUUCAAACCUCAAAUAUCAACUAAGUUAUAAUCAGUAUCUUUUGUAUGGUAAGGCACUAGACCCAGAAUAACAGAAGAAAAACAAUGGAAGAUAAAUUUAAAAGUUAAUGGAAGAAAACAUAAUUAUGGAGAGUUACAACUAUUACAUGUUUACUUUUAAACUGGUAAUUGAUAUCUAAAAUAAGUAAGGGUUUGAUAUGGGAAGAAUAGUAAACGGGAGAUAGGAGCACUAAUUUUAAGACACUUUUUUGACAUCAGUUAGUAAAACAAUUUUGGAAAAAAACAAUGAUCUAUGUUUCUUAAAUCUAAUUAAUUUAUAUUAUUUCAUAUAUAUUUUUUAAAAUGAGCUAUCCUUCAAAAUGC